rnacentral:rRNA from 1 species
CUGAUUAUAUUAAAGAGCCGCAGUAUUCUGACUGUGCGAAGGUAGCAUAAUAAAUUGUCUUUUAAAUGGAGGCUUGAAUGAAAGGUUGGACAAAGUAUCAUCUGUUUCUUAAAUAUUUAUUGAAUUUGACUUUCAAGUGAAAAGGCUUGAAUAAAUUAAAAAGACGAUAAGACCCUAUAAAUCUUUACAAUAAACAUGUUCUAUAUUUUAAUUUAUAAGUAUAUAAAAUAUUAAAUUUGUAUUUGUUUCGCUGGGGCGGCGUGGAUAUAUUAAUAAACUGUCUAUGUGUUAAAUCCAAUAAUUAUUGAUUAGUGAGAUUGAUCCUUAAAUAGAUUAAAAGAUUAAGAUACUUUAGGGAUAACAGCGUUAUUUUUUUUGAGAGUUCUUAUCGAAGAAAAAGUUUGCGACCUCGAUGUUGAAUUAAAGUGUCUUUAUGGUGCAGCCGCUAUAAGAGAGAGUCUGUUCGACUUUUAAUACUUUACAUGAUCUGA